GGAUGGAAGGGGACUUUAUUUGGUCCCAGGGUCACAGGUCAGGUAUGACCCCAACUUUAUUUGCCCUUCUUCUUGGGGCGCAGGUUGUUAGAAUGACCACACUUCCUCUUACGGCAGUUGACAGCACGAGGGUGCAGGCGUGCAUAGCACUUGCGGCAGAUCAUCUUGUCACAGUUGUACUUCUGGGCAAGCUGACGAAG
rnacentral:misc_RNA from 1 species